CCGCCACAGAUCUAGAGUCAAGAUCCUAAAUCACGAAUCUUACUCCACCUUUGCUAAAAUUCCUUACAAAGAAACUUAGCCUUUGUUGCAUUACCUUGUAAGAUGAUAUGAUCCAUACCCUAUGUGCGCUUUAUAGCCAAAUACAUAUGUAAGAAAUGGAAAGUAAAGAAUAUGUGGGGCUAUAUAAUGAAUAUAUGCUAGCAGAUGAAAAGGGUUACCUAAUUUAUAGACCC
rnacentral:lncRNA from 1 species